rnacentral:rRNA from 1 species
UACGUAGGGCGCAAGCGUUGUCCGGAAUUAUUGGGCGUAAAGAGCUCGUAGGCGGCUUGUCACGUCGGGUGUGAAAGCCCGGGGCUUAACCCCGGGUCUGCAUUCGAUACGGGCUAGCUAGAGUGUGGUAGGGGAGAUCGGAAUUCCUGGUGUAGCGGUGAAAUGCGCAGAUAUCAGGAGGAACACCGGUGGCGAAGGCGGAUCGCUGGGCCAUUACUGACGCUGAGGAGCGAAAGCGUGGGGAGCGAACAGG